GACGAACGCUGGCGGCGUGCUUAACACAUGCAAGUCGAACGGAAAGGCCCUGCUUUCGUGGGGUGCUCGAGUGGCGAACGGGGGAGUAACACGAGAGUAACCUGCUCUAGAUUUUGGGAUAACUUCAGGAAACUGGGGCUAAUACCGGAUAGGAGCUCCUGCUGCAGGGUGGGGGGGGGAAAGUUUCGGCGGUUGGGGAUGGAUUCGCGGCUUAUCAGCUUGUUGGUGGGGUAGUGGCUUACCAAGGCUUGGGCGGGUAGCCGGCCUGGGAGGGUGAACGGCCACAAUGGGCCUACGAUACGGACCAGACUCCUACGGGGGGCAGCAGUGGGGAAUAUUGCCCAGUGGGCGCGAGCCUGAUGAGGCAACGCCGCGUGCGGGAUGACGGCCUUCGGGUUAUAAACAGCAUUCGGCUGUGACGAAGCGUGAGUGACGGUAAUGGGAGAAGAAGCACCGGCUAACUACGUG
rnacentral:rRNA from 1 species